rnacentral:rRNA from 1 species
CCUACGGGGGGCUGCAGUGGGGAAUAUUGGACAAUGGGCGAAAGCCUGAUCCAGCCAUGCCGCGUGUGUGAAGAAGGCCUUCGGGUUGUAAAGCACUUUCAGUGGGGAAGAAAGCCUUGGGGCUAAUACCCUCGAGGAAGGACAUCACCCACAGAAGAAGCACCGGCUAACUCCGUGCCAGCAGCCGCGGUAAUACGGAGGGUGCGAGCGUUAAUCGGAAUUACUGGGCGUAAAGCGCGCGUAGGCGGUCUGAUAAGCCGGUUGUGAAAGCCCCGGGCUCAACCUGGGAACGGCAUCCGGAACUGUCAGGCUAGAGUGCAGUAGAGGAAGGUAGAAUUCCCGGUGUAGCGGUGAAAUGCGUAGAGAUCGGGAGGAAUACCAGUGGCGAAGGCGGCCUUCUGGACUGACACUGACGCUGAGGUGCGAAAGCGUGGGUAGCAAACAGGAUUAGAUACCCGAGUAGUC